AGUUGCUUGAGAUAUUUUCUUCUCUCUCUACAAAACACGAGCAUCAUUUUUAUAAGGCAACAAGGCGUUCUUUCGUUCUUUUGCACUUCCUCUCCUUUCCUUUUGUUAGUUAUGAGGAGAAUCAGAUCUCUCUCUCCAAUGAUCACCUUCUUCUCCUCAUCUUUUUCACCUUCUUCCUCGAUUGAUCACUUGCAUUUGCAGGUUUGCUUGGUUGAUGUCAAGAAGAAUUAAUAAGCAACGAAGAUUUGUUUGCACCUUCAGAAUCAUCACAGUUCUUUACCAAACUAUGCAUGGAUGAAGUAUCAAUUACAUAUGUUGAUAUACAAGGAAUGGGGUUGGGAGGAAGAAAGCUUUUGGUAGCAAGUCCAUAGAUGUUAAAGAAUGAUGGUGAUGGAAAAUUUUGAUUGCCAUUUGAUUUUUGUGAGAAAAGCCAAGAGAUUCUAUUAUGUAUGCUCUCUAUUGCACUAGGUAUUACUUUGUCCAGAUGACAAAUGUGCUGGGCUUUGUUGUGUUCUACCGUGUUGACAAAUUAUGUUUUAUGUUUACGGCAUCAUAAUCAAGCAUGCCCGCUUCAGUAACUAAAACUUUCUACUGGUUGAAUGGGAUAAACGGGAAAAGCAGGAAAAAACAUUGUUGUUGGUUAUGUGUUCAAGGGUUCGAGGACAUGGGUGCAACCCUAGAGUAUCUUCCAGAAUUCUACAGGUCCUGCACAAGGGCAAACAUUCCAAAAGAUCUCUAUCAUUUCUCUGAGAUAUGGUUGGAAGAAAGAGAAGACAUCAUUGAAGGUACCUCUGAGAUGCAAACAGAAGGCAUUGCCAUGUAUGACCAAUGCUAUUUCAGCUUGUACUGGUACAAGCAUCUGGACUUGCCUAGUGGCCUAGUCUUUCCUCCUUUUGCAUGACCUACUUUACUAAUAUUGAAGUUUCAACUAUCUCCAGGAUUUCAACUUCAGAAAACUUGGAGAGUAAAACAAACUGGAGAAGUGUUGAUGAAUAAUUACCUUGAUUUCAGAAGCAGGGUUCAUCAGUUGGUGCUGUUCCUCUUUCAGCUUGUUGUAGCGUUCAAUAACAGAAUUCAUGCUGAAAUGCAAGUGGAGAAUCCAAGGAAAAGAGAAAGGAGAAUACCAUGAGUUUUUGCACAGGAGUAUGAAUGAUUUAAAAUCAAUAUGCAGUGAAAGUAUUCCUAAUUUAUAACCCAAGUAAUUGAAUUUUUAGUGAUUGCUCAAGCCCCUAGCUUUUGUAUCGGCCUGAUAUUGACUCGAGAUUACUACUUCUAGUAGAGCCUGAUAUAGUUGGAACAUAGAUGCUAUAGAGAUAGAUCUUGUUUAAUUGUUUUCGUAGUCUUUUUUUUGUUACUAACGUAUAUGAAAUUCUCCUUGAAAGCAAAUUUUAGUGAUUUUCAAAUUGAUAUUUUCAAUAUAGUGAAUAGCAUUAAUUUA